UGCAAGUCGAACGGCAGCACGGAGCUUGCUCUGGUGGCGAGUGGCGAACGGGUGAGUAAUAUAUCGGAACGUACCCUGGAGUGGGGGAUAACGUAGCGAAAGUUACGCUAAUACCGCAUACGAUCUACGGAUGAAAGUGGGGGAUCGCAAGACCUCAUGCUCGUGGAGCGGCCGAUAUCUGAUUAGCUAGUUGGUAGGGUAAAAGCCUACCAAGGCAUCGAUCAGUAGCUGGUCUGAGAGGACGACCAGCCACACUGGAACUGAGACACGGUCCAGACUCCUACGGGAGGCAGCAGUGGGGAAUUUUGGACAAUGGGCGAAAGCCUGAUCCAGCAAUGCCGCGUGAGUGAAGAAGGCCUUCGGGUUGUAAAGCUCUUUUGUCAGGGAAGAAACGGUGAGAGCUAAUAUCUCUUGCUAAUGACGGUACCUGAAGAAUAAGCACCGGCUAACUACGUGCCAGCAGCCGCGGUAAUACGUAGGGUGCAAGCGUUAAUCGGAAUUACUGGGCGUAAAGCGUGCGCAGGCGGUUUUGUAAGUCUGAUGUGAAAUCCCCGGGCUCAACCUGGGAAUUGCAUUGGAGACUGCAAGGCUAGAAUCUGGCAGAGGGGGGUAGAAUUCCACGUGUA
rnacentral:rRNA from 1 species